GUGCUCAUUUCGGCAGCACAUAAACUAAAACUGGAAUGAUUCCAAGAAUAUUAGUGUGGCCCCUGUGCGAGGAUGAUACACAAUUUCAUGAAGCAUUUUGUACUUAA
rnacentral:snRNA from 2 species